GACGAACGCUGGCGGCGUGCUUAACACAUGCAAGUCGAACGAUGAAGAAGAGCUUGCUCUUCGGAUUAGUGGCGAACGGGUGAGUAACACGUGACUAACCUGCCCCUUUCUCUGGGAUAACGCUCCGAAAGGAGUGCUAAUACCGGAUACUCACAUCGAGGCACAUGCCUUGAUGUGGAAAGUUUUUCGGAAAGGGAUGGAGUCGCGGCCUAUCAGCUUGUUGGUGAGGUAACGGCUCACCAAGGCGACGACGGGUAGCCGGCAUGAGAGGGCGACCGGCCACACUGGGACUGCGACACGGCCCAGACUCCUACGGGAGGCAGCAGUGGGGACUAUUGCACAAUGGGCGAAAGCCUGAUGCAGCGACGCCGCGUGAGGGAUGAAGGUCUUCGGAUUGUAAACCUCUUUCAGUAAGGCCGAAGCGAAAGUGACGGUACCUAAAGAAGAAGCACCGGCUAACUACGUGCCAGCCGCCGCCGUAA
rnacentral:rRNA from 1 species